CCUUCGAUAGCUCAGUUGGUAGAGCGGAGGACUGUAGGAAGUAAAUGUGGGAAUCCUUAGGUCGCUGGUUCGAAUCCGGCUCGAAGGA
rnacentral:tRNA from 1 species